rnacentral:ncRNA from 1 species
GUUAAAUCGAUGCGUUGACUAAGUAAAUAUGAAAUCAUCAAAGAGAGCUGAUGGAUGGUGUAAAUCAGCAUGAUGACAUAUUGAAAUCUACCAACAAGAGAAGCUAAUCACUUCCGGAUGAUCCGUUAUCUCAUAUAAAGAUAUCAGAUAGAUAUGAAAUAGGGUGGCACCACGAUAUAUUCGUCCCUUGU